GUUCUCUCAGCUCUGCUCAAUCACAUGUGUAUGUGGUGUGGUUGGCAUUUUUAUGAGAGGCAUAGCAAUGGGCCCCAUAUGCACGGCGGGCUGACUUCAUGCUGGUCUUCCUGUUCCUGUUUGAGGCUCAACAUUU